AAGGCACACUUUUCCAAGGGGAGCAACAGCGUUUACCUACACACGCAAUGAAAUUAAAAUAUGCACGACAAGGUGUCAUAAAUAACUGAACAAUAUACCUUGGCAACCGAAAUCUCUGCGCAGACGGUAUAUUCAGAAAAGAGAUCCUUACCUGGGUGGCUCGAAUCUUUACACACAAAUUUGUCUUGGGAGACUUACAAAACUUGCAGUCAUAGCACUGAGGAGUGUAAAGUGGAAUCACAUGGUCACCUUGAAGGGUUUUGAAUUAAAGAGAGGGGACACAGAAGUCACUCCUUCUCCAACACUUUCAACAAUGCCACCUCCUUCGUGACCGAGGAUGCAUGGAAAGAUGCCUUCAGGAUCAUGUCCAUCUAAAGUGUAUGCAUCAGUGUGACAUACACCAGUGGCAACAAUCUUGAUACGGACUUCUCCAGCUUGAGGAGGUGCCACUUCAAUGGUUUCAAGGCUGAGUGGUUCCUUUGCGGCCCAAGCAACAGCUGCACGGCAGGUGAUAGUCUGAGGAUUAUUCAUUGAUUAGUUUCAGUAACUGAACACCUCUGAUUCAUAUUUUACAGUGAAUUUUUUUACUUUCAAGUACUGUGUUACUAAACUUUUAACAAAUACUGUAAAUUUAAACAUUUUUAUAGCUAAUUGUACAAAAGUUCAAUUACUGAAUAACUCAAACUUACUUUUCCCAUCGUUUCGGACAUUUCUAAUUGAAAGAAAGAUAUCAGUACGACCAAAGGUAUUUUGUUAACUAGCAAGUUCUCUCAGCUGUCUGUCAAUGAGCCACUUCCAAGGU